GACACGCUGGCGGCGUGCCUAACACAUGCAAGUCGAGCGGAGAUGUACUGAAGAUUUAUCGGAUGUACAUCUUAGCGGCGGACGGGUGAGUAACGCGUGGGCAACCUGCCUUCCACUGGGGGAUAACACAGGGAAACCUGUGCUAAUACCGCAUGACAUCACAUAGGGCAUCCUGUGUGAUCAAAGGAGUGAUCCGGUGGAAGAUGGGCCCGCGUCCGAUUAGCUAGUUGGUGAGGUAACGGCUCACCAAGGCGACGAUCGGUAGCCGGACUGAGAGGUUGGCCGGCCACAUUGGGACUGAGACACGGCCCAGACUCCUACGGGAGGCAGCAGUGGGGAAUAUUGCGCAAUGGGGGGAACCCUGACGCAGCGACGCCGCGUGAAGGAAGAAGGCCUUCGGGUUGUAAACUUCUUUGAUGAGGGACGAAGGAAGUGACGGUACCUCAAAAACAAGCCACGGCUAACUACGUG
rnacentral:rRNA from 1 species